GAUGGGGAUUAGACUAGUACUAAACUAAAAUAAAUGUAAGAGCCGUCCAAACUCAAAACAACUUGCACUGACUAUCUUAAAAUACUUCAGUGCCUCUUGUCCUGGCUUAAGCCGAUUCCUGUCCGGGAAACCACCCUAUAAGCAAUAUAUUUAGGAUUAUUUGUCCAAGUUUUUUCAGUUUUUCUGUUUUGUUUUUUAGCAAUUAACCAACCCACUAGUAAGAAGGAUAAAAAGAACGCCAGGCGCGAAAAGUGUGAACAACCUGGACUGAAGAAAGCAAGGCGACCUGUUGAGGAACCUCCAGGGACUUCAUACGAUGAUUUUGACUCUGCUUUAGAAGGCUCAUCUGAAGUGAUUCUUGAAAAUUCUGCUGAAAGGGGUGAUGCAAGAAGAAUACAAAAACGGGUGUGGUCUCCAACAGAAAUCUCUGCUGUCAUGAGACAUUUCAGGAACCACAUUGCAAAGGGUAAACUGGCCACCAAGAUUGAGUGCCUACAAUGCAAAAAUGCAGAGCAUCCUGCUUUAGAUAGUCGCUCUGUUCAAAAUAUAAGAGACUUUGUGAGGAAUCGAGGCUUAACCCUCAAAAGGAAGCAAUUACAAAAUGUUGAAUAAGCACUUUUUUCUGUCAUUUUGUUCAUAUGUAUAAACUAAGUUUUAAACUGUUCAUACACUGCAAAAAAAGAUGUUAAUUUUUUACACAUUGUGUGU